UACGUAGGUGGCAAGCGUUGUCCGGAUUUAUUGGGUUUAAAGGGUGCGUAGGCGGUUCCAUAAGUCAGUGGUGAAAUCCGGCAGCUCAACUGUCGAUGUGCCAUUGAUACUGCAGAACUUGAGUACAGACGAGGUAGGCGGAAUUGACGGUGUAGCGGUGAAAAUGCUUAGAUAUCGUCAAGAACACCGAUAGCGAAGGCAGCUUACUAGACUGUAACUGACGCUGAUGCACGAAAAGUGUGGGGAUCAAACAGG
rnacentral:rRNA from 1 species